rnacentral:rRNA from 1 species
UACGGGGGGGGCAAGCGUUGUUCGGAAUUACUGGGCGUAAAGGGCUCGUAGGCGGCCAACUAAGUCAGACGUGAAAUCCCUCGGCUUAACCGGGGAACUGCGUCUGAUACUGGAUGGCUUGAGUUCGGGAGAGGGAUGCGGAAUUCCAGGUAUAGCGGUGAAAUGCGUAGAUAUCUGGAGGAACACCGGUGGCGAAGGCGGCGAUCCUGGACCGACACUGACGCUGAGGAGCGAAGCCAGGGGAGCAAACGGGG